AAACCUCAAAAUUCAAGCAACCUUUGGUUUCUAGGAUUCACAUCCUGACAAAUUUGUUGACAAGAUUAGCUUUUGUUGAUAUACGGUUGCUUUGCCUAUAAAUCAGUCCAAAAGAAUUACAAUGACCACUCUUUCCAGCUACCUUCAGCUUAGAAACAUCAUCCCCUUUGUCCUCUACUGCAACAGAUCUGUCCGUUGAGUUUACAUGGAAAUUCAACAUGAGUUUCGGUAUCUCAUCGAUGCACAUCAUGCAUUGUCAAAGGAAUGUGUGAAUUCCAAGGAAAUUAUGAACCUUGAUUUGUCAAUGUCAACAACGACAGAAUCAGUAUGCAUCUUCAGAAUCCCUGACACUGUAGCCAAAACGAAAAAGCCUAUGUUCCCGUUGGAUUCUCAAUUGUGCAAUUGCAUUACCGCAAUCCAAACCUACGUGCCAAUGAUAAAUUGAAAAUACGGUAUGUGCUAGAUCUCAUUUCCAAAGACAAGAACCCAAUGGAUGCAAUGACGCAGUUGUCAGACGAUGGAUUGCGCAACUUAAAUCGGAAUCUCAGCUCCGACGUUCGGGACUGAUAUUCCAGCCCGUUUCAUGGGGAAGGACUUGACAAAUAUCAUGAUGGUUAUCAUCUAAUUUUCGAUGGUUGCUUUAUCAUCGAAUUUCUUCAUAAGUUCCAGGAUCAGAACCGUAG
rnacentral:misc_RNA from 1 species